UGGGGCCUAGGACCUUUGUGGUAGCAGAGUCACUGCAGAGAACCAGACAAUACCAGGUUGCUUAUAAAAGGAUGCCAUGUGCUUGCUGGAGGUCCCAGGUGCAACCAAAUUGCUUGCAGCUAGGAGGACCUUGAAGAGAAAUGGGAUCAGCCCGCCAAACCAAGAAGGGUUAGCACUUUUGCUAGGAGAGCUGACCACGCACAAACAGAUGAGAACCAAAACCGAGUGAAGAGGAUUGAAGAUGAACCCACAUUUUAAAAGUUCUUGUCUGCUGGAGGUGGCAUUACCUGUGACCUCGCUUCACUUCUCCAUACAUGGCUGUUAUAGCAGAAAAUCCAGCUUUCUGAAGCAUAUUUCACGACAUAUGAUGAGACUUAUGUGAUGUGAGACCUGAGAAAACUAUGAUAGAAAGAAGCAACUCAAGUUGCAAGGAUAUUCCUCAUGUAUCAUGCAAGGAUAUUCCUCAUAUAUCAUGCUUUUUCUAUCUUCUGCUCUUUGCCACCUGUGAGGUCCCUGAAAAUGAAGGCCAAUACUACCCAGAGACUAAGGUGUCAGUAUGUUCUUCAAGCUGCUCUGCUCCUGGGCCCAAGCUAUUCUCCUGCCUCAGCCUUCCAAGAAGCUGAAACUACAAGAACACAAGACUGUACCUGGCUUGCAAACACCAUUGCUAAUAAGAAGAUAUUGUAAGACUGAUACCUAAGAGAUAAGAGGUAACACACACACACACACAUGCAGGCACACACACACACACACACUCAAGUCACAAGAAGAAGCUGAAAAAUAUUUAAUGGCAUAGGAACAUGUGGAAAUAUAAAUUAUUCACUGUUAAACAGAGGACAAUUUUUAAAACUGUGUAACUAUCUUUUUUUUUUUUUUUUUUUUUUGAGACAGAG
ensembl:lncRNA FIRRE firre intergenic repeating RNA element